CAAGGAGCUGUAGGUGGGUAUCUGCUCCACUGUGGCUCUCCAUGGGCUACAGGGGCACAGCUGCCUCACCAUGGUCUUCACCACAGGCUGCAGGGGAAUCUCUGCUCCAGCAGCUGGAGCACCUCCUCCCCCUCCUUCUUCACUGACUUUGGUGUCUGCAGAGUUCUUUCUCUCACACAAUCUUACUCCUCUCUUCAGCUGUAGUUGUCAUUGCACAGUUAACUCCUCCCUCUCUUCUUAAAUGUUAUCCCAGAGGCUCUGCCACCGUCGCUGAUGGCCUUGGCCUUGGUCAGCAGUGAGUCCAUUUCAGAGCCAGCUGGCAUUGGCUCUGCAGGACAUUGGAGAAGCUUCUGGAAGCUUCUCACAGAGCCACCCCUGUAGUCUCCACUUCUACCAAAACCUACACAAACCCAAUACAGAACCUUUGGGUAAGUAAGGGUAUUUUUGCUUAGUUUAGAUCAUCUCAGCUGGAAGGACUUUCAGAUUUUAAAAGACUCUUGAUUCAGGUCCGAAGUUCUAGAACAAGAACUGCAACAAAGUCAAAGAAAUCCUUUCUUUCUUUUCUUCUCCUUCCCCUUUCAAGCCCAGUUUACUUUACUCCAUCUUCUUUUCCUUGGUGUCUUUCCCUUUUCACUAUACUUUGGCUUAGACAUAGACCAAGUACACCAGGAUAUAAAUGAGGUUGAACUCCUACACUGGUAUGACCUACUGCAUCUGCCUGCUUUCCACAGUGCGUCUUAGUCUGGAUUUAAAGGUGGAAAGAGCCAGUUUCUCUCUGCCUCUUACAUCCAAUACAGCUGAGUCUCUGAUGUGCACUUAUCUGACCCAAGAUAACUGUGAGCAGGAUGUGAACUCUGCUUCUGUCUCUGAUGACCCCUGAUGUCACCCCCGACCAUGAAGAUAUCUACAGAGGAAAUUCUCACUCUUUCCUGCUUGAGCUGUUCUGCUUUGUAUGGAAUCAACUGGGCCUGAGAUGACACCAAAGUGCCUGUCUUCAUACUAACCUGGGUUAUGUACCUUUAAUUACUAAUACUUAUGUCACUCUUGUAUUAAGUACUUACAAGUGACUGCAUAUGCAUGUAUUUUAAUGGUCUUAAUGCACCUCUCUGGUUGCUUGGGAUAUGUUUUACUUAUGUUAAAUCAGGUGAGAAAUUACAACACACCCUGGCACUGAAACAGUAUUUCUAAGGCCACUGAAAGCAGGACCUGUGUGUUUGAAGACAAGUAAUUUGGAAUAGCGUGUUUAAACAAGACACAUGGAACUGGAGAGAGCAAACAAACCAGUUUAGGAAAAGUCCUAUAGAAUUCUAUCAGGUCAUGUGGGAUAUUAGAGAAGUAUCUACAAGCACCCAUUGUUUUGUGCAAAUUUACACUGUGAGGUUGUGAUACUUAUGCUCAAAUAAAUAAUAACUUAUUUUCUG